rnacentral:tRNA from 1 species
GCCUUUGUAGUGUAGCGAUAGCACACUCGGUUCGUAUUCGAGAGGUCCAGGUUUGAGUCCCGGUGAGCACA